GGAUAGCUCAGUCGGUAGAGCAUAAGACUCUUAAUCUCAGGGGGUUUGAGCCCCAUGUUGGGCA